GCGUCCUUGGUACAGUGUUUAGUAUGCUUGACAUGGAUAUAAGUGACGUGGGUUCAGCUCCCACAGGACAAA
rnacentral:tRNA from 1 species